CCUACGGGAGGCAGCAGUGAGGAAUAUUGGUCAAUGGACGAGAGUCUGAACCAGCCAAGUCGCGUGAAGGAUGACUGCCCUAUGGGUUGUAAACUUCUUUUAUAAAGGAAUAAAACGAGGCACGUGUGCCUUUUUGCAUGUACUUUAUGAAUAAGGAUCGGCUAACUCCGUGCCAGCAGCCGCGGUAAUACGGAGGAUCCGAGCGUUCUCCGGAUUUAUUGGGUUUAAAGGGAGCGUAGAUGGGUUGUUAAGUCAGUUGUGAAAGUUUGCGGCUCAACCGUAAAAUUGCCAUUGAUACUGGCAGUCUUGAGUACACUUGAGGUAAGCGGAAUGCGUGGUGUAGCGGUGAAAUGCUUAGAUAUCACGAAGAACCCCGAUUGCGAAGGCAGCUUACUAACCUGUGACUGACAUUGAUGCUCGAAAGUGUGGGUAUCGAACAGGAUUAGAUACCCCAGUAGUC
rnacentral:rRNA from 1 species